UACAGAGGGGGCAAGCGUUGUUCGGAAUUACUGGGCGUAAAGGGCGCGUAGGCGGCCUUGUUAAGUCGAACGUGAAAUCCCCGGGCUCAACCCGGGAACUGCGUCCGAUACUGGCAGGCUUGAAUCCGGGAGAGGGAUGCGGAAUUGCCAGGUGUAGCGGUGAAAUGCGUAGGAUAUCUGGAGGAACACCGGUGGCGAAGGCGGUUCUCUGGGCGAUUACCUGACGCUGAGGAGCGAAAGUGUGGGGAGCGAACAGGG
rnacentral:rRNA from 1 species